UACCUGGAAGCGGAAAAACAUAAAGAACAAUUUGUUUGUGCUAGUUAAAAGACAAGCUUAUGUAAAAUGAGUUCUUCAAAACCCUGAAGUACAUCUUAAGAGACAGUACAUCUUACAAAUAUCCAGAUCCCACAUUAAGCAAAUGUGAAUCCCUACUUUGCUCUAUGACAGGAAACCAAAUCUUCAGUUUGAUGCAGUCAGGGCAAUCCCUGAAAAUCAAGAACCUGUUGGUUUUCAUGCGUGCAGCUAGUAAUGAGAGAGAAGCAGACCAAAGAACUAAGAAGCACUGAUCCUCUGCAGGUGAACUAAGCUGAAGGCACUUCAGUUAAUGUCUUCAGUGCAAGCAUGUAAAGGAUCAUUUGAGACUAGCUUGGGAAGUGAAUGCUGCUUGAGAUGAAGACCAACAUUUCAAGGCAUUUUCACUUACAAAAAGAUGAUACACUUAAUGGUUGUCUCUUGUGUGCCUCCAACCAAGUGGGCUGGAGGAAGCUGGAUUUCAAACCAGAUGAACCCAGGCGUGGGGAUGGUGCUGCCGUCAGUAUGGCUGGCUGGCUGCUCCUGCCUGGGAGCUGAGUUAGCCUCGACUGCAGACGGAUGUCUCCAUCCCCUCCUCCUGUCUCUAUUUCUCUUCAUUGCAAGCUGACAGCCUGCAGAGUGCACAAGAUAUGCUGCUGAGACGAAGUCUGGAGAAGCAGUCUUGGAUCUCAUGUCAAAGUGAACCACGGAUGAAGAAGGCAUCACCAGGAGGGUCCUCAGGCACCUAGGCUGAAAGGUACUUUUUCCUCAUUCUAACAACUCCAGCGUAUGCAUUAGAGAUAUGACAGAGACUAUCAGCUACCCCAUGCCACCUCUAUGCUGAUAGGGCUGUAUGACUU